GUGCUUGCUUCAGCAGCAUAUAUACUAAAAUUGGAAUGAUACAGAGAUUAGCAAGGCCCUUGUGCAAGAAUGACAUGUAAAUUCAUGAAACAUUCCAUAUUUUA